CCUACGGGAGGCAGCAGUAGGGAAUAUUGGGCAAUGGAGGCAACUCUGACCCAGCCAUGCCGCGUGCAGGAAGACGGUCCUCUGGAUUGUAAACUGCUUUUGAAUGGGAAGAAUGUGCUCCUUGCGAGGGGUAAUGACGGUACCAUUAGAAUAAGCCACGGCUAACUACGUGCCAGCAGCCGCGGUAAUACGUAGGUGGCGAGCGUUAUCCGGAUUUAUUGGGUUUAAAGGGUGCGUAGGCGGCUUAAUAAGUCGGUGGUUAAAAGUAGCAGCUUAACUGUUUUACAUGCCAUCGAUACUGUUGAGCUUGAGAUAUUUGGAGGCAGCUAGAAUUUCCGGUGUAGCGGUGAAAUGCAUAGAUACCGGAAGGAAUACCAAUUGCGAAGGCAGGUUGCUACGAAUAAACUGACGCUGAUGCACGAAAGCGUGGGGAUCAAACAGGAUUAGAUACCCUGGUAGUCCACGCCGUAAACGAUGAUUACUAGUUGUUGGGGUUUAAGCCUCAGUGACCAAGGGAAACCGAUAAGUAAUCCACCUGGGGAGUACGCCGGCAACGGUGAAACUCAAAGGAAUUGACGGCUGNGAGNGCGAGCGACGACGAGGGAGAGG
rnacentral:rRNA from 1 species